rnacentral:misc_RNA from 1 species
UCCGGUUUGUCACCGGCAGUCUCGCAUGAGUCCCCGGCCUAACCGCUGGCAACAUGCGACGGGGGUUGCGCUCGUUGCGGGACUUAACCCAACAUCUCACGACACGAGCUGACGACAGCCAUGCACCACCUGUGACGGUCCAGCCGAACUGACCCCGUGUUUCCACGGGUAUGUCCGACAUGUCAAGCCCAGGUAAGGUUCUUCGCGUUGCGUCGAAUUAAACCACAUGCUCCGCUGCUUGUGCGGGUCCCCGUCAAUUCCUUUGAGUUUUAGCCUUGCGGCCGUACUCCCCAGGCGGGGCACUUAAUGCGUUAGCUCCGGCACGGGAGGAGUCGACACCUCCCACACCUAGUGCCCAUCGUUUACAGCGUGGACUAC